rnacentral:rRNA from 1 species
AAACUAACAAGGAUUCCCCCAGUAACGGCGAGUGAAGUGGGAAAAGCUCAACUUUGAAAUCUGGCUGUUUUACAGUCCGAGUUGUAGUCUCGAGAAGUGUUUUCCGCGUUAAACCGUGUAUGAGUCUGUUGGAACACAGCGUCAUAGAGGGUGAGAACCCCGUUCAUGACACGGCUUUUAAUGCUUUGUGAUACACUUUCGAUGAGUCGAGUUGUUUGGGAAUGCAGCUCAAAUUGGGUGGUAAAUUCCAUCUAAAGCUAAAUAUUGGCGAGAGACCGAUAGCAAACAAGUACCGUGAGGGAAAGAUGAAAAGCACUUUGGAAAGAGAGUUAAAAGUACGUGAAAUUGUCGAAAGGGAAACGCUUGAAGUCAGACGUGCACGGGAUUUAUUCCUAUUGCAGGCCAACAUCGGUUUUACGAGCCGGAUAAAGGUACAAGGAAGGUAGCAGUUUCGGCUGUGUUAUAGCCUCGUACUGAAUACGGAUUGUGAGACCGAGGGACGCAGCGCGCCGUAAGGCAAAGGGUCCGCCCUUUUCGCGCUUAGGAUGUUGGUGAAAUGGCUUUAAUCGAC